GUAGUUUGAGAGGCGGUGAAGCUACUACGAUGUUUAUUAAAGAAAGCUCGAAUUUCAGCAGGAGUGGAAGACCAUCUACGACGUCUAGCUUUUUCCAAUGGUACUACCGGUAAACCCACCUCUUGAUGACAACCUCUUAUAGGAGAAAUUGGCAGAAUGUUGGGUACUAAAGUGUUAAAAAUGGCAGUGGAAUAUUAUUCGCGGACAGACGGUGAAGUAUUCAAGGAAUGGGGAUAAGGUAAUCUGGUCGAGGACAUCAACAAUUUCCUCUUGUAAAUCAGGAAAACAUUGUCGACUACUCGUACGUGAGGUAUUUGAGUGCUCGCUAAAACUUCCUGAAGUCUUCGGUUCUCUUCUAUCAACGAUCGGUAUUGCUGAAACAAAAAACAAAAAUGACGAAAUCAGUUAACG